rnacentral:tRNA from 1 species
UCCCUAAUGGUCCAGUGGUAAGGACUCUGUGCUUCCACUUCUGGGGGCCCAAGUUGGAUCCCUGGUUGGGGAA